rnacentral:rRNA from 1 species
GACGAACGCUGGCGGCGUGCUUAACACAUGCAAGUCGAACGGAAAGGCCCUGCUUUUGUGGGGUGCUCGAGUGGCGAACGGGUGAGUAGCACGUGAGUAACCUGCCCUUGACUUUGGGAUAACUUCAGGAAACUGGGGCUAAUACCGGAUAGGAGCUCCUGCUGCAUGGUGGGGGUUGGAAAGUUUCGGCGGUUGGGGAUGGACUCGCGGCUUAUCAGCUUGUUGGUGGGGUAGUGGCUUACCAAGGCUUUGACGGGUAGCCGGCCUGAGAGGGUGGCCGGCCACAUUGGGACUGCGAUACGGCCCAGACUCCUACGGGAGGCAGCAGUGGGGAAUAUUGCACAAUGGGCGGAAGCCUGAUGCAGCAACGCCGCGUGCGGGAUGACGGCCUUCGGGUUGUAAACCGCUUUCGCCUGUGACGAAGCGUGAGUGACGGUAAUGGGUAAAGAAGCACCGGCUAACUACGUG